rnacentral:rRNA from 1 species
AGUGAACGCUGGCGGUAGGCCUAACACAUGCAAGUCGAACGGCAGCACAGUAAGAGCUUGCUCUUACGGGUGGCGAGUGGCGGACGGGUGAGGAAUACAUCGGAAUCUACUUUUUCGUGGGGGAUAACGUAGGGAAACUUACGCUAAUACCGCAUACGACCUACGGGUGAAAGCAGGGGAUCUUCGGACCUUGCGCGAUUGAAUGAGCCGAUGUCGGAUUAGCUAGUUGGCGGGGUAAAGGCCCACCAAGGCGACGAUCCGUAGCUGGUCUGAGAGGAUGAUCAGACACACUAGAACUGAGACACGGUCCAGACUCCUACGGGAGGCAGCAGUGGGGAAUAUUGGACAAUGGGCGCAAGCCUGAUCCAGCCAUACCGCGUGGGUGAAGAAGGCCUUCGGGUUGUAAAGCCCUUUUGUUGGGAAAGAAAAGCAGCAGGUUAAUACCCCGCUGUUCUGACGGUACCCAAAGAAUAAGCACCGGCUAACUUCGUG